UAGCACUUCAUACUAGCCAAGCUAUCUGUAUCCUAGCCUUGAGAAAGGCUUGUUAUAUGAUGUGAUAGCUGGGUUUAAGAAGUGCAGCAUUAAAACAAAAGUCGUGAGUUUCUCAAGCCCAUGUAAAGACACAUUCUGAGUUAAAGUUCACAGGCACAACU